UACGUAGGCAGCAAGCGUUGUUCGGAGUUACUGGGCGUAAAGAGUGCGUAGGCGGUGUCGAAAGUUUGGCGUGAAAUCUCCCGCUUAACUGGGAGGGUGCGCCGAAAACUGCGGUGCUGGAGUGUGGGAAAGGCAAGCGGAAUUCCUGGUGUAGCGGUGAAAUGCGCAGAUAUCAGGAGGAACACCGGUGGCGAAGGCGGGUCUCUGGGCCGAUACUGACGCUGAGGAGCGAAAGCGUGGGGAGCGAACAGG
rnacentral:rRNA from 1 species